AAACACACAACAAACAUGCUGCGUAAUAGAACUUGCCACUUCUUCGCUUUCCAUCAUUUUGGGGUUAAAUCACCCAAGCCAUUGAUGGACGGAGAACUGAUAAGGGCUCUUGCGUUGGUCAAUUCAACGGCAAAGAA
rnacentral:precursor_RNA from 10 species